rnacentral:rRNA from 1 species
GGGUCCGGACACACUGAGGAUUGACAGGCAAUUAUUGCUAACAGUUUCUUUUUUUAAAAGUACUGUUGCAACAACAAAUAUGCUAGUCCUUUCAUGAUUAUGUGAUAGGUGGUGCAUGGCCGUUCUUAGUUCGUGGAGUGAUCUGUCUGCUUAAUUGCGUUUCAUUAUGGACCAUGUUAUAACAUGUACUAUCUCUUGAUUUUCAAAUUUUCAUUUAUUUGAGAUUUGUUAUAAAGAAGGAGUUUUGGUGCAAUUGGUCCUGAAAGCAACGAACGUGACCGCAUCCUCUUGUUGCCUUUUUAACUUGGCAUUUUUUUUAAUUUAUUUUAACAUUUUUGUCAUAACAUAAGAGGCUUUCAGAAAACUAGAGGGACCGCUGCGACUUUUUUAAACCAGAGGAAGGUUGCGGCAAUAACAGGUCUGUGAUGCCCUUAGAUGUUCCGGGCUGCACACGUGCUACAAUGAUUAUUGCAGUGAGCAUCUCAUUUUAUUUUUUGUGCUCGUCUUGUCUGCGAGUUUAUUCUCAACGACGACAGCCUUAGCCUGCUUCGAAAGUUCGCAGGU